rnacentral:rRNA from 1 species
UACAGAGGGUGCGAGCGUUAAUCGGAUUUACUGGGCGUAAAGCGUGCGUAGGCGGCUCGUUAAGUCGGAUGUGAAAUCCCUGGGCUUAACUUAGGAAUUGCAUUCGAUACUGGGAAGCUAGAGUAUGGGAGAGGAUGGUAGAAUUCCAGGUGUAGCGGUGAAAUGCGUAGAGAUCUGGAGGAAUACCGAUGGCGAAGGCAGCCAUCUGGACUAAUACUGACGCUGAGGUACGAAAGCAUGGGGAGCAAACAGG